UAUCUCCAUUGUUGAGGAGUUGGAGCUUUUGAGCUCCGUUUUGAGCGAGAAGACGAGCCCCGAUCAUCUUUUCGAACACGUAUCUAAGUAGGUCCUUUUGGGAAGUAACGACUUGAGGGAGAGAGUGACGUUACUCAUUGAUACAGAGACACAACGAGGUUGAGCUGAUGUGAUGAUGGUGCUGCAAUGAGCGGAGUCUCCAGGGUUGUUAAUAAAUAGUUAACCUGUCUAGAAUAUGUCUUCAUACAUAUGUCUAGCUACUUUCCGCUGCAAGAUGUUGUUGAUGUUAUAGUAUGUUAUGUCAUACUUUGAGUCUUAAGAGAAUGGUUUCAUACGAUGUAUAACUUGAUUAAUGAUAUUAAUUAAGUUUUAUGCUGUCUUUCAUAGACUGUUUUCAAUUGAGUAUUAAUGAAUAAAAAUGACGAGUUUUAUUAA